rnacentral:misc_RNA from 1 species
GUCUUUGCCAAACUAAAGGCUCUCUCAUUUCUUUCAAUGGCACCAGCAUCUUCAAUCAAAUUCAUUGAUACUGCACUUUCUUGUACCAGCCCUUAUGCACUAUCCUACCCAGACCCUAAACAAAAAUGGCUAAUCAGAAAACACCUUCUUUCACUAAUCCAGGACUAUCCAAUUUUCACACCUUCCACCGAUACGUUCACCCACAACGAUGGCACCAGCGUGAACCUUCUGAACGCCACCGGCAAUCUCCGGGUCUCCAGGUACACCCCCCCUAUACCUCUCACCAUUUGGGUUCAUGA